GACGAACGCUGGCGGCGUGCCUAACACAUGCAAGUCGAGCGAGGUUAUUCCUUCGGGGAUAACCUAGCGGCGGACGGGUGAGUAACACGUGGGUAACCUGCCUUAUAGAGGGGGAUAGCCUUCCGAAAGGAAGAUUAAUACCGCAUAACAUCAAGCUUUCGCAUGGAAGUUUGAUCAAAGGAGUAAUCCGCUAUAAGAUGGACCCGCGGCGCAUUAGCUAGUUGGUGAGGUAACGGCUCACCAAGGCGACGAUGCGUAGCCGACCUGAGAGGGUGAUCGGCCACAUUGGGACUGAGACACGGCCCAGACUCCUACGGGUGGCAG
rnacentral:rRNA from 1 species